ACAAAACAGUCUUAUUAUUAGAGACGUAUUUCUCAAAUAUAAAAUGCAAAAAAAAUUCUCACCUGUUUCCUUUAACUUGUCAUUGAGUGUUUUAGUGAGUUUCUCAUUCAGAGUCUGCUGAAGCUGAGAGAGAGUUGUCCUCACAGUGUCCCCACUCAGAUCAGUGUUAAUACUGAUCUCAGUCCAGUUCUUGGUGUGUGGAGGGCUGCACAUGGAGGAGUAAAUCUACAGUAGAGCAGGAGAGAGGAGAAAUCCCUCAGCAUGCUGAGUCUGAGGAUGGAGCAGAAGCAGAACAAAAUAUAAAGAACAGUGUUGUGAUUCUUGUGGUCUGUCUCAGUGCAGAACUGACACACACACGUCUGAUCAUCUCUACAGAACAGCUCCACAGCUCUCUCAUGUUUCUGGCAUAUGUAGUCCUCCAGCUUCUCCACAGGGUUUAUUAG